rnacentral:lncRNA from 1 species
AUUGAGUCUCCCAAUCGGGGAGCAACGACGAUUCGAAUCGCUUAGCAAUCCAGCUGGAGUUCCUAACCACCCGACAUAUGUAGAACCAAAUCUUGCAUAUAUCAAUCCAAUUCAAGCUCUCCCCAAAUUUGACCAGGUUCGCGGCACCCGAGAGCACAGUACUCCACCAUUCUACAGCCGAUCUAGAUGUUUUCCGGUCAUCUCAGAUCCGUAAGGUGGGUACACACUACUCUCGCCAUCUUUCCACUCCCAGUGCGCGAGUAGCUGUUUGCGUCGAGGGAUCACAAGACCGGGCUUACCGAAGGCAAGUGGCUAGUACUAUAAAUUCUCAACCCAGCAGGCCAUCAACGGAACGGUCCUUAAUCAACACAGUCGGAGACACUACUUUAAGACUCCAUUCUUAGAGCAAGUCCACCGACCGGUCUCAAAUUGAAACAUCAUUGAUCGUAAGUGUAUCCCACAACAACCCUUCAAACUUUCUUGUUUAAAAACCUAUCUAGUAGCAGGGCUAAGCAUCGCUACGCAGUUUUAAAAUAAAACAGGUGUCAAGGACAGGAUACAGAUAUCAAGGUAGUAAAUGCAGCAAGUAGGUUAACCCAAUUCUCAACUACCUAAUGCAGCAUUUUCAAUUCAUAAGUGACAAAAGAUUUAAGACAUCCAAUGAGGGGUUAAUGCAUCUGGGGCUUGCCUUGGUUGCAGGGCAGAGAGGGACCCUCGGAGACUUCCCAAGUCUCGGAUCCUACUUCUUCGAACGGAGCACCGACCUCGGGGUUCGGUUCAACGGGCGCUCCUUCGGUCACGGACACUAUACGCAAAAUGAUGAAUGCUCAUGAUAUGCGUAUGACAAUUAUGCAAGAAGGGCCAAAUCAAGUACAAUUUGCCUUCCCAAAGCAAUACAGAAUAAUCAAUAAAUAAAGUUGUUUAAUAACCUAUUGUUUUUACCCAAGAGGUUGCAUCUGUAAACUAAGACUUUACUUAAUUCAUAAUUAUCUUAAAUUAAGUAAUUAUUAAACCUAUUUACCUUAAUUAAUUCUUAAUUAAUUACUAAUGACAGUAAUUAAGCAUUAAGGCUAAACAAUAAUUAACUGCCAGAGGUCAUUAGGGUUAAUGACCUCAGGUCAUCACACAAUCCCAAAAUCACUCAACCCUAAUCAUGAGAACUUAAUUAAUUAUUGUUUAAUGGUUUUGGAAUUAUUAUUUAAGUACUAAAUAAGGGUUUAUUAGUAUUCUAAUCUAACAAUAUCCAAAUGCCACCAAAUUUUGGGUGGAGUCAGGGAAUAAUAUUCAGAGGCUCCCCACAAUUUUUGGUGAUUUUUGGACAUACAAAUAAAUUAUUAUAAAUCAUACAAGUUUCAUUUGCUAAUUAAAAGGGCAAAUUUUUACAGACAUGUAAACUACCAGAAAACAGAAUCCACUAUUUUUCUUGUGUCCUACUUAUUUCAGGGAAUAUACACAAAAAUUUCCAUGAUUUUUGGAUCAACCUACAAUUUUCUACACAAUUUCAAACAUUCAGCAAAAAAAAAAUUGCACAAAAGGAAAAAAGAAAAAGAUUUUUCGCGCGGCGGGCGGCCUGGAACUUGGCCCGCAAGCCGGCCCACGCGCGCUCGGCCUGCUCACGCGCCGCGCAGACGGCCCGCGUGGACACGGUCCACUCUGGCCCGAGCGCUUCCCGCGCCCGCGCCCUCUCCCUCUCUCUCUCACGCGGUCGCUGACGGGCGGGUCCCGCCCGUCAGCUCCGUCUCCUUCCUAGCGCCGCGGCUCCGGCGAGCUCCAGUGAGCCGUCGGCGAGCUCUCGGCCUUCGCGGCGAGACGCGUUAGCUUCCUCGACCUCCCGCGCACCCAGGGGCACCCUUUUCUCCCACUCUCCUCUAUCCUAACCCCUGUGACCACGGGCACGGCGGACGGCCGCCUCGGCCGAGCAGACGCCGGCCAC